rnacentral:rRNA from 1 species
AUUGAACGCUGGCGGCAGGCCUAACACAUGCAAGUCGGGCGGAUGAAGGGAGCUUGCUCCUGGAUUCAGCGGCGGACGGGUGAGUAAUGCCUAGGAAUCUGCCUGGUAGUGGGGGAUAACGUCCGGAAACGGGCGCUAAUACCGCAUACGUCCUGAGGGAGAAAGUGGGGGAGCUUCGGACCUCACGCUAUCAGAUGAGCCUAGGUCGGAUUAGCUAGUUGGUGGGGUAAAGGCCUACCAAGGCGACGAUCCGUAACUGGUCUGAGAGGAUGAUCAGUCACACUGGAACUGAGACACGGUCCAGACUCCUACGGGAGGGAGCAGUGGGGAAUAUUGGACAAUGGGCGAAAGCCUGAUCCAGCCAUGCCGCGUGUGUGAAGAAGGCCUUCGGAUUGUAAAGCCCUUUAAGUUGGGAGGAAGGGCAGUAAGUUAAUACCUUGCUGUUUUGACGUUACCAACAGAAUAAGCACCGGCUAACUUCGUG